CCUACGUGAGGCAGCAGUGAGGAAUAUUGGUCAAUGGGCGUAAGCCUGAACCAGCCAAGUCGCGUGAGUGAUGAAGGUUCUAUGUAUGGUAAACCUCUUUUAUAAGGGAGUAAAGGGUGGGACGUGUCCUAUUUUUUAUGUACCUUAUGAAUAAGGAUCGGCUAACUCCGUGCCAGCAGCCGCUGUAAUACGGAGGCACCGAGCGUUAUCCGGACUUAUAGGGUUGAAAGGGUGCGUAGGCGGCAGUAUAAGUAAGAGGUGAAAGUCCGGGGCUCAACCAUAGAAGUGCCUUUGAAACUGGGGGGCUUGAGUAUGUUUGAGGCAGGCGGAAUGCGUGGUGUAGCGGUGAAAUGCUUAGAUAUCACGCAGAACCCCGAUUGCGAAGGCAGCCUGCCAAGCCAUGACUGACGCUGAUGCACGAAAGCGUGGGGAUCAAACAGGAUUAGAUACCCGUGUAGUC
rnacentral:rRNA from 1 species